rnacentral:tRNA from 1 species
GCCACAGAAGCAUAGCCUGGUUUUUGCCGCCGAUUCGUAAUCGGCAGGUCGUGGGUUCAAAUCCCACCUGUGGCU